UUUUUUAUUUCAAACAGUGCUACCCACUCUCAGCGCCACACCUCGAUGUCGUCAAGGCGAGGGGGAGAAUCAGGCGGCGGCGAUUCUCCUCGCCGGCGGGAGGAGGCCAAGAGCACGACUCCUCGGCUGUAGCCAGGCUCAGCCGGUGGGCGCAGUGCGGCGCCCUCCGCUGAGAUGUCAUCGAGGGGAUGGGGCGAAUCUGGCGGCGGCGAUCCGCCUCGGCUGCAGGGGGAUUCCAGCUCGCGUAGCAAGGCUAAAAGCCGGACAACAUCGCUGCAGCCAGGCUCAGUCAGCGAGCAUGUUGCGGCGUCCUCCGCCGCCGCCGUGGAGACAGGCUUGGAGUUCGGCAAGGUUGACGGCGAGGCGCACGCACCCGCUCCCCUGCACUUGGCAAGGCACCAACAGUUGUUCUGUGUUCAUCAAGCAAUGAUGCGCUGAAUCGCAGGGCAGUUGCUGGUGGUCUUGAUUUGGAUCCAAAAAGGUCAGGCGUCGAGAUCCAAAAAAGCAAGCAAAUAAUCAAUCUGCAAUGGGGGGUAGGGGGGUCAAUGAUGUGUUCAGCUAUAACUUUGCUAUUCACAUAUAUACUACUUCUGUGAGCUACAAGUUUUGUUAUCUACUAGUUUUUUUCAUUUUCGUUAAAUGCACUUAGUUUUGUCUACCUCUAACAAUGUUUAGUUUUGUCCGCUCCUGAUAAUACCAUUUUUUUGACCAAAUCAGUUAGACAGUCUUGAAAACUAGCUAUGUAUGUAUGUACUAAAAUGAGUAGUUUUGUAAGCAAACUUCAAUCAUGUAGAGUAAAUUUCAGUGUAAAAGCUUGUGUUAUCUGAAAUACUAGGUGUCAAGGCCUCCAUGGGUGCAUUUUUAAGAUUAUCCUUGUUGAUCAUAGAUGAUGUUUUCAUUUUCUGGACAUCAUUAGCGCAUCAAUUCCAUUUUUUUCUCCUUUUCUGGUUUAUGGGCAUGGCAUCAAUUGGCUCUGUUCUUAUGCCCUAUUAUGAUAAAAAAUUAAGAUGUUGUGCACCAAUAUAUCUAUUUGUUUGACUCUCCUUCUUCUCCUCCAUCUUCGGCGUGAUCUCCAUGCUUUUAAUGACACAUAGUUUUGUUAGUUUUGACUUCUGCUAAUUUUUGAAAUCACAAGUUGUGCUCUCUGUAGAACUGUACUCUGCUAGUGAUGUGUAAACUGAGUUCUUGCAAUUUUUUGAUAGGGAACGGGUGAAAUUGAGUUGCCAAUUUUUGGACUGAAGAAGUAGUCUCAUUUUGUGGACAAUUUUUUUGCUGAGAGCCCAUGUUUGCAGAAUGAAGGGGUCCUACCAGAGCAAUGGCUCCUAGGGCGCCUAAUGAUGUGUUGUGAUGCAGGUUUAGUGAUUCUGUUUAGUGCAAAGUUCAGUAAAUUUUUCAGACAUGGAUGUGAUGGCAAAGUUCAAGUGGUUUUGUUUAGUGCAAAGUUUAGUAAAUAUUUCAGCAAAUAUCAUCUCCCAAAAAAUGUUCAAUUAAGUAAUUAA